GGAACAGAAAGCUCAGUGGCAGAAUGUCUGCUUUGCAUGCAAAAGGUCUUAGGUUCAAUCCCUGGCAGCUCCA